rnacentral:snRNA from 1 species
GGUUGUGUGUGUCAUGUGAUGGCACAGCUGAACAUUGAUUGCUUUCACUGUAAUUUCCGAAAAGCAGAUCUGCUCAGUCCAGUGUCACACGUUGGCUUUCUAGAAGCACUCAGCUGCUCUCAUGUCCUAGCACAUGAUUGAGUGGCACCGGGCAGCUACUCGAACGCCGCGGAAGCAAUUUGCAUUUCAUAGACGUAGUUUAUUCACAACCAUAUACUAGGCACUGCAGACUGUAGUAUGCCAGUUUUUUGA